rnacentral:lncRNA from 1 species
UGGAAGGGGUUUUUUUAGAUGCCAACCUAUUUUUUUAGGCUUUGGGCCAGCCUCUUAGAGAGGGCUGGAGUUGCCAUUAGGGAGUGAAAUAAUAUGGAGCUGUGUUGGGUGGGUCUUUUUAGUCUGGAAUUGUGUCUAGGUUCAAUUUGACAUUUCUCAUGUCUUUUGGUCAGAAGCUUCAAUUUUGACAUUUCAAGUUAGUGAGUUAUCAUGUUGUUGUAGGUUCGACCGUUAAGUGUAAUCGUCAUGAGAUUUAAAAAAUUUCACUUACAAGCGAAAAAAAAUAUUUUGUCAUUGAGCGAGUUGACUAUACUAGCUUUUCACACCAAUUUUCUUAUACAAAAGUUAAAAAUAAUUUUGAAUAAAAUAUAACAUUGUGUUUCCAAAAAAACAAGAAAAAUUUCGGUAUAAGGCUUAUGUUUAACGUUGAGAGCUAAACAUAGCGCAAGUUAGUUCAUCUUCAGCCAAAAAGUUAUAGGCCACUUCUAGCUCAGAUUUGUGAAAAAUGUGUCUCUGGCCAAUGACCAAAAUGAAUGUGUUAAAAAGAAUCACAGUCAAAUUUAGCAAACCCGCAAGUAAGCUUCAUGAGCAAGCAAAGUUGGAGACGAAACUGACUUCAGAGUUCAGAGUAGAGUCACUGCUCGUGAAAUUGUGACCUAGGAUAUAUACACUCACAUACACAAAGAGAUAGGAACCCUACAUAAGCUUCACUAACAAGACGACCUUUACUUAGGGUUGGAAAAAAAUCCCGAAAAUUCCCAAACCAAACAAAAAAAAUCUCAAUCCCAAACCAAUAAAAUUCUGAUCCCAAACCAAA